ACGGAAGGCAGCAGUGGGGAAUAUUGGGCAAUGGGGGAAACCCUGACCCAGCAACGCCGCGUGAAGGAAGAAGGCCUUCGGGUUGUAAACUUCUUUUACCAGGGACGAAUAAUGACGGUACCUGGAGAAAAAGCAACGGCUAACUACGUGCCAGCAGCCGCGGUAAUACGUAGGUUGCAAGCGUUGUCCGGAUUUACUGGGUGUAAAGGGCGUGUAGGCGGAGCUGCAAGUCAGAUGUGAAAUCCCGGGGGCUCAACCCCGGAACUGCAUUUGAAACUGUAGCCCUUGAGUAUCGGAGAGGCAAGCGGAAUUCCUAGUGUAGCGGUGAAAUGCGUAGAUAUUAGGAGGAACACCAGUGGCGAAGGCGGCUUGCUGGACGACAACUGACGCUGAGGCGCGAAAGCGUGGGGAGCAAACAGGAUUAGAUACCCUGGUA
rnacentral:rRNA from 1 species